CGGGUAAUGCUUCGUGGAUAUUGGCAAUUAUAAUGUUUCAUUUAUUUAAAAUAUAAUAUUUUUUAUUAAAAACAUUUAAAUAAUUUUUUGAAUUAUUUUUCCAAAUAGUAGGGCACCGUUUAUCUUCUACGGUUUAGCCACCGCAUUCUCCAGUCUCUCAAGCCUCAGUGUAACGGACUCCCCAUCUCCUUCCACUUUUUAUCUUAUCUUCCUAACACACGGUACCGUUUAGUUUGUACCCUAUCGCCGUUCUCCGCUUCCAGCCGUUGAACUACAGCUGCGCUACCACCUCAACGGCGACCGAAUCACUACUCCAGCCUCCUUCAUCUCCUUCAUUACUCCCCGCUCUCCCCUGCAGAGGUUAACCCUUUCCUAACUUCUCUCUUUUCCUAUUCUCUUUUCCUACUCAGCUCGAUCUUGAGCAAUGUAGCUUAAGCUCUUCUUAUUUAAAUUUUGUUAAAUUCGAAUAGGAUUCUGAUUGGGUUUGUCUUCACCUUGCUUCUGGUCGAGUUUGAGCUCAUUUCAUUCGAUUAGACAAGUCAAAUUCAUAAUUAUUUAAAAACAUUAGAAAAUUUAAUACAGAAAUUUCUAUAAAUUGGACAAUUUUAGUAGUCAUUUGCUUAUGAAGUAGUCUGUUUAGUUAUGUUGUGCGUAAUAGCAUUUGUAAUCUUGGAAACCAUAUUAUAAAUGAUUGGGUUAGCUUACUAAUACAGUUUACGGUAUUAAAAAAGGACGAAAAAAAAGCAAGUUAAUCAAGUGUAGUAUAAAUGAUCUGAAGUAACUUUAUCUAUUAAUUUCUGUAAAGAAAUGUAUAAAGCAAACUUCACAAUGAAAAUAUAGGUUUGGUAAGUGUAUGAAUCAAUUUAUUUACUAGCUUCCAAUGCCUGUUCAAUAGCCUAUCGACAAUCUAGAUCAUGAGUCUGUUGAUGAGUUAGCUUAUGAAUCUAUAAAUGAGUUGGUAAGGUUAAACGAGAUGACUUACAAUUAGCUCAAUUUGCUUCUGUAUAAGACUUUUAGAAAUAGACUUGAGCUUGUGUCAUUAAACAUAAUGAAUGAGUUCAAAUGAGCAUUUACAAAUAGGUUCAAGCAAGCGACUUGAUUUUGGCUUAUUAACCUUAACAAACAAGGUUAGCAAACCUUUGUUGAGCUAUGCUCUAAGUAGCUGACAAGCUGCUCAGACUAUUUGCAGUUUUUAGUGAACCUUGAUUUGUUAUGUUUUAGUGAAGUCCUUGGGAAAUGGGAACAGUUAGUUGUAUUUUUCCUUUGAAUUUGUUGUUCUUUUUGGUUUAUAUAAUUCAUCAACUUCUCAGGUACAGAAAACUGUGGAUUUAUUAGUAUCAUCUGUAUUCAAAGAACAGUUCAGAUGAUGGUCUAUCCAGUUUGUUCAUUUCACUUACAAAAUUGUUUGGAGGGCUUCACUCAAUUGACAUUCUGGUGAGUUAGAGCACAGAAAGAAAAUGAAGUUAUUUACAUAGGCUUGCAGUAAGGAUAAUUACAGAUGCUUGUAAUACACAUUUUGAAAGAAUUCUUCCAAUUAAGAAAAUGGUUAUGAAAUCUGGAUCUUUCUGUAAAAAUUAUGAACAAAGUUUGUGUCACCAUUUGUCAGGCGAUUGUCUGUUACAUAUCCAUCCAGCAAGCAUGUUCCAAACACUGUUUUAUUGCCAACUCUGGGUUAUGUGGUGGAAUACACAAAUUUCCAAGCAAAUAUGGUACGGUCAAAUUAUCAAACAUCUGUUACAAAAAGAGUAUGUCCCUCUUAUGCUUCUUUCAAUUCCUUAUCAAGAGUUCACCAUCGUGGAGGAUUGCAAAUCAGUGUUAAUGCUGAGGAAGCAUCAAGUUUUGGCAAGCAUUGCCGGUUAAAACUUAGUCAGGAUUCUGCUGAGACUGAAACUUUGAAUGAGGAGCUUCUGCUGGACAAUUACUGUGACUGUUCCAAAAAUCCCAGUGACAAUAAUGAAAGGAAAAAAUGCAGAAAGAGAAAACAUGGUAAUAAGGGGAAGGUACCGUGGAACAAAGGCAGAAAACAUACUGCAGAGACUCGUGCACUUAUCAAGCGGAGAACAAUAGAGGCCUUGAGAGAUCCCCAGGUGAAGUCAUGUAAGAACUCGUUAGUUUUUUGGCAUAAUGAAGGUUUUAGGUAGGCAUUUUUAGAAUGGUGAGGGUUCAUACCAUCUGGCAUAACUGCACAUUUUUUUUUUCCAUAUUUAAAGUCUUCAUUGAUGUAUAUGGUCGAUGUUUAUAGGAGCUUUUGGAAUAGUAAGUGAAAAUUCAUGUACUUACCAGAGAAAAUACAAACCUUUCAUGUCAUUUUCCUGCUUUAAUAAAUCUUUACUUGCCAUGGAUUCAUAAACACUGCCUAUAGAUAUCCUACUCUUUUUUUAACUCUUCUUUUCCCUCCUCUAAAAUCUUCAUUAUUUCCUUCCUGUACAACUUUCACUUUCAGGUUAGAAAGAAGAUGUCAGAACAUCCUCGUGCCCAUAGGUAAUCUUUAAAUGAUCUAGUCACUCCCUUCAAAGUUCUGUCAAAUAGAAUAUUAUUAAGUUUAGUAUAUGGAUUAUGGAAAAAUAGUAUUAUGAAACACACAGGAUUAUUAUUAAGCAUUCAAAUUUCAAAUCUUUAAUCAUAGUUGGGAUCAGUCAUGCAGUAGUUUUACCACCAAGCAUAAAAUAAUUAUAUUCAAGUAUAUAAGCACAUUGUGUCAACAUAUGCUAGGAAGAUACAGAGAUAAAAGCCACGACAUGAAUCUUAGAAUAAUGACUGUAAGUAGGGAAAUAACUGGCUAUUUGUCAUGCAAGAUUCACUCAGUUGAAGUUGUUUACAAUACAAUGGUUUGUUUUAGAUUAAAUCAACUGAUAAUGAUCAUCAGCAAAUAAUUUCAUGUGACCUGCUCUUAUGAUUGUUAAGCAUAUUAGUCAGCAAACAUUUCUUCUGGUUAAUAGAGGAUAAAUUUUUUAAAUAUCAGGCAUCUUAGCUAUAAGUUUUUAGGUCUUUAGCCUGAAUAUUUGAGUUGCUACAGUCAUACUAAUAUGUCAUAAUUUAUUUAGACGAUGAAAAUCACAAUUCAAAACAUAUUCUAUUGCAGUGAUGAGAUCAAGGAAAAAAUAGGUUUUUCACUUAGACGGCUUUGGGGCAAGCGUUUGAAAUGGAAGAAACUAAGAGAGAAGUUCUUCCUGUCAUGGACUAAAAGCAUAGCAGAAGAAGCUCGGAAAGGAGGCAUUGACCAAAAGGAGCUAGAUUGGGAUAGCUAUGACAAGAUAAAAGAAGAAAUAACUCUACAACAGCUUCAGUUUGCCGAGGACAAGGAAAAGGCAAGGGAGCUAGCAAAGAUAACAGCUGAGAGAGCAGCACAGGCAAAAGCAGAAAAGUUAGCAAGGCUUGCUCAGAAGAGAAAAGAGCGAGAAGAGAAAAAAAAAGAAAGAGAAACAAAGAAAAAGGCUUCCAGAAAAUCAAAGAAGAAAGCAAAUAAGCUGUCAGUUGUCCAGGAGUUGACACUUCAACAGAGAUUAACAAAGAUUCGCAAAAAGAAACCCAUAAAGGUGAUUACUCAAGGAGAGGCAUCGAUUUCCCAUAGUCCAGCUUGGAAGAAAUUGGAUGUGGCACUUGUGAAGAGAGAAAAAGUUCAAAGAGAAGUUUCACUCGCAGAUCAGAUCCAAGCUGCCAAAAACAAAAGAACUGAACCCAUGGCAAGGGAAGCAUUGGCAGAAUCAUCUACUGAUCAUUUUUUCCCAUGAAGAUCACUAGAGUAUUCCUGAAUUGCAUUAUUUGCGGCAACAUCAAACAUGACUGGUAUUGACUGAAAGGCAAAACAAGGUCAGUCGAGCAACAUACCCAUUAUGAAAUUAGAUUCCAAGUGCCAACAAAGUUCAUUAACCACUUUAGAAGAAAAAUAUUUGAAGAAACAAUUUUCCAGCAGUGUCUGAUCACCUAGUGCCUGCAGGGAUGAAUUAUUGAACAUGUCCUAGACAUUGCAGGGAGAGUGGUUUUUUGGGACUGGGGGAUGAUU
rnacentral:misc_RNA from 1 species